rnacentral:rRNA from 1 species
GAUGAACGCUGGCGGCGUGCCUAAUACAUGCAAGUCGAGCGAACAGAUGAGAAGCUUGCUUCUCUGAUGUUAGCGGCGGACGGGUGAGUAACACGUGGGUAACCUACCUAUAAGACUGGAAUAACUCCGGGAAACCGGGGCUAAUACCGGAUAAUAUUUCGAACCGCAUGGUUCGAUAGUGAAAGACGGUUUCGGCUGUCACUUAUAGAUGGACCCGCGCCGUAUUGGCUAGUUGGUAAGGUAACGGCUUACCAAGGCGACGAUACGUAGCCGACCUGAGAGGGUGAUCGGCCACACUGGAACUGAGACACGGUCCAGACUCCUACGGGAGGCAGCAGUAGGGAAUCUUCCGCAAUGGGCGAAAGCCUGACGGAGCAACGCCGCGUGAGUGAUGAAGGUCUUCGGAUCGUAAAACUCUGUUGUUAGGGAAGAACAAAUUUGUUAGUAACUGAACAAGUCUUGACGGUACCUAACCAGAAAGCCACGGCUAACUACGUGCCAGCCGCCGCAGUAA